rnacentral:rRNA from 1 species
UACGUAGGGGGCAAGCGUUGUCCGGAAUUAUUGGGCGUAAAGAGCGCGUAGGCGGUCCGGUAAGUCGGUUGUGAAAGUCGGGGGGCUCAACCCUCGGAUGCCGAUCGAUACUGUCGGGCUAGAGUCCGGAAGAGGCGAGUGGAAUUCCUGGUGUAGCGGUGAAAUGCGCAGAUAUCGGGAAGAACACCCGUGGCGAAGGCGGUUCUCUGGGACGGUACUGACGCUGAGACGCGAAAGCGUGGGGAGCGAACAGG